GUAGUCCACGCCGUAAACGAUGAAUACUAGGUGUAGGGGUUGUCAUGACCUCUGUGCCGCCGCUAACGCAUUAAGUAUUCCGCCUGGGGAGUACGGUCGCAAGAUUAAAACUCAAAGGAAUUGACGGGGGCCCGCACAAGCAGCGGAGCAUGUGGUUUAAUUCGAAGCAACGCGAAGAACCUUACCUAGACUUGACAUCUCCUGCAUUACCCUUAAUCGGGGAAGUUCCUUCGGGAACAGGAAGACAGGUGGUGCAUGGUUGUCGUCAGCUCGUGUCGUGAGAUGUUGGGUUAAGUCCCGCAACGAGCGCAACCCUUAUUGUUAGUUGCUACCAUUUAGUUGAGCACUCUAGCGAGACUGCCCGGGUUAACCGGGA
rnacentral:rRNA from 1 species